UAUUGGACAAUGGGCGCAAGCCUGAUCCAGCCAUGCCACGUGAGUGAUGAAGGCCUUCGGGUUGUAAAGCUCUUUUGGCGGGGACGGUGAUGACGGUACCCGCAGAAUAAGCCCCGGCUAACUUCGUGCCAGCAGCCGCGGUAAGACGAAGGGGGCUAGCGUUGUUCGGAAUUACUGGGCGUAAAGCGAGUGUAGGUGGUUGUCCAAGUUGGAUGUGAAAGCCUUGAGCUCAACUCAAGAAAUGCAUUCAGGACUGGAUGGCUAGAGGACCGGAGAGGAUAGUGGAAUUCCCAGUGUAGUGGUGAAAUACGUAGAGAUUGGGAAGAACACCAGUGGCGAAGGCGGCUAUCUGGACGGUUUCGACACUAAGACCGAAA
rnacentral:rRNA from 1 species